CUGUCCGGCCCGUCCCUGCUCCCCGCACCAAGCCAUGGUAUGCAGAGUUGCGCGCUGUGUCACCAGUGCGCCCGCACUGCCCAGUGCGUCCGGUGGACAUGCCCAGCACAUGCCGUGCUAGGAUGGGCAUCCAGCCAGGACGAGUGGCUAAACCGGCUCCAUGCUUCAGGUCACCAGUACGUGUUCACAGUCCUGUCUGGCCCGUCCCUGCUCCCCGCACCAGGUUAGUGGUGCGUGUCCCCAGUCCUGUCCGGCCCGUCCCUGCUCCCCGCACCAGGUUAGUGGUGCGUGUCCCCAGUCCUGUCCGGCCCGUCCCUGCUCCCCGCACCAGGUUAGUGGUGCGUGUCCCCAGUCCUGUCUGGCCCGUCCCUGCUCCCCGCACCAAGUCAGUGGUGCGUGUCCCCAGUCCGGUCCGGCCCGUCCCUGCUCCCCGCACCAAGUCAGUGGUGCGUGUCCCCAGUCCUGUCCGGCCCGUCCCUGCUCCCCGCACCAGGUUAGUGGUGCGUGUCCCCAGCCCGGCCCGUCCCUGCUCCCCGCACCAGGUUAGUGGUGCGUGUCCCCAGUCCUGUCCGGCCCAUCCCUGUUCCCCGCACCAAGCCCACGGUGCGUGGCCACAGUCCUGUCCGGCCCGUCCCUGUUCCCCGCACCAAGCCCACGGUGCGUGUCCACAGUCCUGUCCGGCCCGUCCCUGUUCCCCGCACCAAGCCCACGGUGCGUGUCCACAGUCCUGUCCGGCCCGUCCCUGUUCCCCGCACCAAGCCCACGGUGCGUGUCCACAGUCCUGUCCGGCCCGUCCCUGUUCCCCGCACCAAGCCCACGGUGCGUGUCCACAGUCCUGUCCGGCCUGUUCCUGUUCCCCGCACCAAGCCCACGGUGCGUGUCCACAGUCCGGCACGGCCCGUGUCUGGUCCACCGGUGCCCAAUCAUGUUCCGGUCGACGGCUCCGCUCCGGAGCCUGAGCAUGCCGCUCCACAGUGGUCCAGUCCGGGCCAGAGGGGUAGGGCUAGGGUGGAGGCAGGGGGAGAAACACGCCCGGGGCCAGAGCCUCCACCGAGGGUGAGGCGCCCACCCGGGUCCCCCCCCUAAUAGACUUUAGUUUGGUGCGCCGGGAGUACGCACCGUUGGAGGGGGGGUACUGUCACGCCCUGACCAGGUGAACUCUGCUAUUUUGGUCAGGGUGUGGCAUUU
rnacentral:lncRNA from 1 species